rnacentral:lncRNA from 1 species
UCUAGCUUUGCAACUUCAAAUGCGGUGGUGGUGGUGUUGGGGGGGUGUGGGGCGCUCAAUACCAUCUCUAAAACGGCUAUUCAUGGGGGAGAUUUAUGACUUGUUUGAUUAAAGUUUCUGCUGCCUUCUAUACUGAGUUUCUGUGAUCUGUCCUCGUACUCCGUCCAUUUAUGAAAAUACAAUGUCAGUGUUUCUCCCUUUCUCCCACUUUCUUUCUCUACUAUAUGUAUCAGCACAUUCAAAACGUUAGGAAGACUGUUGAAGUUUUUUGACCAAAUAGAUCCCUUGCCACGGAAAGCUUCUGUUUUGUCUGUUAAAGAAAAAAUUAAGUCAAUUUGUGUAUAUUAAAGAGGAAGCAGUCAAAAGGUUUUUGAGAUGUUCAUGUUCCUUUCUUAAAAUCACAUUCUAGAAUGAUUACGUCAUUUUUAAACUCCAACGAAUUCAGUUUAACUUUUUCUUGUGAGUUGCUUCCAUUUUCCAUACUCAAGGAUGGCGAAUUUCCAGUGUUCUGAUUUGUGACAACAUCUUCUGCUGAGGUAAUUUGUGACAGUGUCAAGGAGUUUGUUCAGCGGAGUAAAUCCCUCCUUUUUGUCAGUAAUGGAACCAACCAGAGUCAGAGUGAUUCGUGGAAUUCAAAGUUUACUUGCCCCGAGAGGUUGCCUAAAGCACGAAUUGAUUGUGGUCUGGAACGUCUAGAAGCUCUCUUGUCGUACGUGACUCUUGAGUUCUGGGCAUAUCAUCCUCACCUUGCUGUUGCAUAUUUCCAUGUUUCUCAUCCAAAGAAGGUUCAAUUGCAUCGGAAAACCGAAAGCUAUUGUAAGGAUGGAUGAUUUAAAUUAUAAGGAAUCUCAAUGUAAGAUGGCUGCUUAAUCAGGUGCAUGUGCUUUUUCAUUGUUUCUCAAUUUUGAAUGGCACCAUGGGG